rfam:Solanum lycopersicum chromosome 9 clone C09HBa0099P03, complete sequence.
AGCCACGCAGUGAGCACAUAGCGAACUAUUCUUUCGCCUUUUACUAAAGAAUACCGUGUGCGCGUUGCAAUUAGUGGCAUACGCUAAUUUUUGGAGGGAUUUUCUUAACUGAAGAUCCC